CUCCACUGGGACUGUCCCCAAGGGUCACCUGUGGGUGAGGACGGCAUUGCUGACAGACAUCCAGAAGUUGGGGCCACAGGCUGGCAGAUUGGGAAGACGUGGAUGCCAGCCCCCAGUGUCCCUGAGGAGGGUGGUGCCCACCUCCCAGAGACCACAGCUCUGUGCCGUCUGCCCGGAGAUCGGCACUCCUCUGCAGAAACCUUGGCCCAGGUCCCAGGUGGAGACAAACAGGAACCUCUACCCUCCUCUGCCUGUUAGUACUGGAUGGUGUGAGCGAGGUCCCCCAGCUGCACCACAGCAGGGCAGGAGACAGCAGUUAAAACUGUGCCUCGGCCCUCGCGCCAGGGUGCCCGCCCAGAACAGUGGGAGCAGUGCUUCCUGUUGCAGCCCCCACCCAGCCAGGCACAGGCCCAGUGCCUCUGUGGGACUCCAUCCAGGACUUGUUGAAAUGGCCGAUGAUACAAAGGAGCCCCGACUUCACCCAUGGCCAGCUUCCCUCGCCAUCCUCCCUGCAGCCAAAGGACUCGCCCUCACCUGUUCUUUCUGAGACAAAUCAUCUGCCAGGUUUCCGCCUCGGGACACCCAAGCUCAGCACAGACAGCCUAGCAGCCUGGGUGACAGGAUCCCAGGGGACAGGAUUCUCUCCUUGCCAUGGGGAUGAGGACAAAUUCUCCCUUCAUCCUUGAGAUUGGACUCCCGCCACACAUCCUGGAGGAGCCUACAGAGAAGCCGGCAGGUCUCCCUCACCUGGAUGGUGCCAGCGGGUGGCCUGGACCACCCAGAGGCCCUCUCCUGCACCUGACAGGAAGCCCCUGGGGCAUACGUCUCCCCUGCCACUUCCACUGUGGCCACUGGAAGUGUGGCAGAGAAAAUAGCUAGGACAAAAAGAAGUCAAUGAUUUCAACCAACGGAAUUUCUUUGUCCUUUGUAAAAAUCAACACAUGAUCUGUUACUGAUUGGGAUGUGAAAUAAAACUAAAAAUAACAGCACACUGAGCCUGGCUCAGGGCUCAGCUCACCUUUACCACGGUCCAAGUUCAGUUUAUCAGAUCCCAAGGAGCAGCUAAGCAGCAAGUCAAACACAGGUGAGGGUGGAGGGCGGAGGGCGGAGCGGGGAGGGGGCUCUGGCCCUCUGCGUGCCCCCACCAACCCCCAGGUAGAGAACCAGCCAGCUCACCAGGGAGUGUGGCCAAGCAAGAAGCUAUACACAGAAUUCUGAGCCCACACCCUAAUCUGCCUCAGGUGGGGAGGCCACUCACUUCCCUUUUUGCCUCAGUUUCCCCACUGGGGUUACCAGGGUCUUCUGGCACAUUCCCUUGUUUUAAGGAACGGUGGAAGAGGGGUCCCCUUGAGAUCAGGUUAAGCUGUGAAACAUCCUGCCAGCGCCACAGGCCACUGGGUCCUGGAAGGUCAGGCCACAAAGACC
rnacentral:lncRNA from 1 species